GAGCCUGAUGUGGGGGCUCAAACUCACAAACUGUGAGAUCAUGACCUGAGCCAAAGUCGGAUGCUCAACUGACUGAGCCACCCAGGUGCCCCUUGGGUCAUUUGUUUUUAAGGAGUGGGUCAUUUCAGUUUUGGUUUCCUUUUUUAACUCAUGAUUUUCUCUGCUAGUGAGCAUGGAGAUGGCAGCUUCCUGGUACAUCACUGGGAACCAGUCAGGGAGUGUCGGCAAAGGUUGCAAUGCGUUCUUGCAGGUUCAUGGGCAACCAGGGAGCAAGAAAGGGGCUAUUCGAGGAGGAUUAUUUAAUAACACCCGAGGGCUGAGCAGGAGGGGUAGCCAGGGAGACAGGAAAGGAAGAGGCUGUUGUAGUGACCCAGGGAAAGGCGACUCCAGCCACAGGAACCUUUGCCCUGGAUUUGGCUCCCACUGCUCAUCUAGGACAGCCCUGCUUCCUCUGACGUGUGUCCUGUUCAGUUUCCUAUUGUGGCCACGGCUACUCUUCCUUGAUUCCCAAUAGCUGGACGAGUGGCACAGAAAUUCCCCUGCCAUCUUGUGACUUGGCUCCAUCACUCAGCUAGCAACCAUCCACACUGGUAAGUCUUGUAAUUCCAGACCAUUCCACCUGGAUUCCAGUUCAUAUGCUUGCACAGUUAUAGAUGCCCGGAAUUGUCCAGAGAGAUCUAAUAUUCUAGAGGGUUUCAAGCAGUUUUAACAAACUCUCUUGUUCAAAUAAAAUCUUUGGAAAGUCUUUCAAUGUAAAAUAGGUAAAAGGAGAAUAAUGGAUUCUCUCAGGACUUCACGUUUAUUUAGUACAUUUUUUUUAAGUAGGCUUCACCCCCAGCACAGAGCCCAACGCAGGGCUUGAACUCACGACCCUGAGAUCAAGACCUGAGCUGAGACCAACAUUUUCUUAAUUUAUGGAAAUGUCAUGACUUGUGGAAUCGAUGAAGUACCGUCUUGAAGCCCCAGGUUCCCUGGAACAGUUCGGAAACCAUGGAUCUCUCUAAACUCCUCACUUUGCAGAUGAGGAAAGAAAACCCAAGAAAAAAUAAAAAGGAACAGACACGGAGACACAUACAGAGUGGAAGAUCUGAGGAGGAGCUCUGGCGUCUUGGCACCUAGAACAGUACCCUUUCUAUCACGAGGACCUGCCCUCUGGACCUUAACAGGAAUGCGCUCACCAGUUGUUUAAGGAAGCGCUCAAAUGCUUUCAAGAUGCUCUUUGAAAAGUCGGUUACAGUGCUCAAGUAAUUUUGGAAACACCAGCUUCUGAUUCCCUACAGCUGACUCUCAUAGCACAUUAGUGUACUUAAGGCUCUGAGAAGUCCCGCAGUGGAGAAAACUACUUAUCUUUGCUUACUCCAGAUUUUCCCAAUUCUUACAAAAUCGACUUUUCCUGGAUCUGCUUGUAUUCUGCUUUGAAGCCCGGGAAAGGCUUCCCUCAAGGAAUGAAUCUUUCUGGAGAUGAGGACUGGGGUGGCGAGGACUCAGGCAUUAUCCCGGUAGGUGCAAGAUUUCAGGUGUCAUCACCUGUACCGCUUCCUUCCCCAAAGACGGAGUUGGCCAGCCCCUCUGGUCGGUGCAGGGACGGGGCAUGAAGGGGUCGGAAGAGGGGAAAGCAGUCGGAGUGGAUGGUGCAGUCUUCGGAUUGCCCCGUGCAAUUCUGUACUAUUUGUACCUUCUGGAGGCCGACGUAGCCGGGUAGCACGUGGUCAGCGGUCCGGAACCAGGAGAGACCUCCUAGCUUAUUCUUUCAUCAUUUUGCCUUUCUUUCCUUUGAGUCCCCUUCCAAAUCCUGUGGUUGUCCCCGUUGAUGUGUUUGCUCCUCUCCAUUCCUGCCGAUCCCUCUCCUCACCUCUGGCAUCCGCUUCCGGGCAAAGUCCCCCCCCCCCCCCCCCCCCCCACCGAUGCAGACUCUCCCAUUGGGCCGCACACACGCCAGCCUGCUGUUGUCCUCAAAGAGUGUGCGUGCGCGCGCGAGUGUGACCACCCAGACCUUUCACAGGGGCCGUUCCGGGGCUGCAUCCAGUUCCGUGCCUUUCGUCUCUCCCCCACCUUUCCCCUAACGUCUAGGAGUAGACAGACCCGAUUAUUUUCGCAACCACCAGAGGGCGCAGCGAUGACGGCGGUUGAAAGGAGAACCGACAAAACGACUCCUCUUUGCGGCUGGCUUCAGUCUUGGAAACAGGCAAAGCUUGAAUCCACGUAGGGCAGAGUGGAAAUCUGGUAGCUUUGGUCACCGGGCGCGACCUCUUCGUCACCUUUAUUCCAAGUGCAGUCAGAUUCGGUCGCAACACAACUCAGGGCCACGCGGUGCCGGUUACGCCUCGGCCUCAUGCCAGCCCUUCAAACGUGUGCAGGCGAAGAAUGUUCGGGAAAGGCUUCCAGAAAUGUGAAUUCUAAUGGGGGUUCCUUUAUAAUGGGAAGAUGGCCAUUUGGCCACAGCAGAAAGCAGGGCUGGGGAAAACGGGAUGCGCACCAGGACUGUUUAGGGCUAGGCUCCCGAAGGUGGGGCUCUGCCCUGGGCGCUGACAUUAGUUGGGGGCUGUCAUCUUCGGAAUGUGGCCUCAGAGGUCUCCACAGGCGGGACAGACAUUGGAGGGUCACACCAAGAAAUGUAUUUGUGUGUGCCAGACCCGGAGGCAGCACACGCCGUUUUCCAUUUGUCUGAACGAGAUCAGUUGGUCCUAAUCUAACUGGCGGGGGGGGCUGGGGAAUGUGGUUUAGUCCUGUGCCCAAGAAGAAGAGAAAACGGACGUUGUGAGCACUCUCUUUCUGUCACAUCUCCCUCUCGAGAGAGAUUGCGGUAAGGAUGAAAUGAAAUAAUAUCCGUCAGGGUGUUUUACCCGGACAGGGAGAUGCCUUACACCUGGAAGAAAGACGCUGCAAGAGCGACAUUGCAGAUGAGGUUGUAUCUGAACGGGGACGGGGAUGGUCCAUUUAAGGGUCUGCCCUAGGGCGUGGACUGAGGAACAGGGGAAAGGAGACUGGAGGGGCUGUACUGGUCUUCCCGAACUCAUGUGAGUCUUUCACUCUCUGACUCACACAUUUAGCUCCCGCAUUCAUUCAUUCAGUCACUCAUUUACUCUUCACAAAUUGUUGUACUGCCCUGCCCCGUGUGGCCCGCUGGUCUAUACAAUAAACGAUGCCACUUCAAGGAUUCAGCGCUGGCCUUUGUGUUGGCAGACUGGGCAAUCAGCAAUCACAAGUAAGUCAGCCUUGGGAAAGGGAGCCCCUGUUUUUGGACCCUUGUGUAACCUACAUCCUUGGCACUUUGACCCCUCUGUUCACAGACACAUUGAACAAAUACUGAGAUAUCUGAGGACAGAGGUUGGGUGACACGCUGGAGACGGGCCAUCCUUUGUAAGCUGCUGAUUAACAUCCCCCCCCCCCCGUGGGUUCAUGCCCUCAGGCACUAACGUGAGACCCAAAGGGUCACGCAUGCGCUUGGGUACGCGUGUCCACUGGUCCAUCCCCAGAUUUCCUUGUCUCUGAUUUUCCACUCUGUUCCUUCCAGGCCCCUGGCAGCUAGCCAGGCCAUCUAAUACCGCAAAGAAGGUAAUGCACAUCUAUGCCUCGGGCCACCAUUCUGCCCACAUAAAGUGGGCGACCAAGUGCACUGGUUCCAGCUUGCUCCACUAGAAGAACUACCUUUUACUGUCACCUUUAAGGGGCUUCUCUUAAUCUGGGCAACAAUACAGGGGCAAUCCUAUUCUGUGAACCAACACUGAGUUCAGUAAGGAAGAGGGUACCUACAAGGUAUCUAUAAGUAGGGAUUGAGGGAGAGUCAACAGUGUGGCAGAGGUAAGUGAAAUGAGAGCCCAGGUGGCUGUUUCUAUCAUUCACUUCACCGUUCGGAAUGUGCUAAAGCCCACACUCAAAUAUACCACUUCCAUUGCAUGAUCGAUUGCUGGCGUGUAUGUCCAAACUUAUGUCUUUGUAGAUUAGAUAACAACCCAGUUCACAAGGGGAAAUCAGACUGAAUAGUAACGGAGUGUCUCGUGGUUGGCUACCGAGUCUCGGUUAGGGUCCAGUAGCUGCUUCUCAAACAGUAUAGAUCUCUACCGUAAUGCAUGGCCUCGUUCCAGAAUCUGUAGGCUCUGUGCUAUGUCUCUUCUACUGAGGACCGCACAGCUUUAUCCAGCGCAGAUACCCCAAGGCACCUUUAGAUCUGUUGGUCCCGUGGCCCAGGCAACAGAGAGCUUGGAACCACAACUUGGACUUGCUCCCCAUUCAAAACUGGUGGUUUUCUGAGUCAUCAGAGAAAUGGAACAGAAGUUUAGACUACGUUGCCUUCAAAAUCCAGAGACACUCCCAGGCAUUCUGCCUCUGUCCUAGUGCUAUAAGAUGCAGAGUGCAAGAGCUUGUUCUUUCCCUUCGGGGGAUAUCCCCACACAUCCCAGACAAGUGGAACGCUAUAAAACUCACCAAUGUGGCGUGCUUCUGCCUCUUUGUGGAGUUUAUCUCCUACUUUCUCCCAUGCAGGUGUCUCAGUGCGUUUGGGAUACUUGCCAAUUCCUGCUCACCGGUUCCAAUUACCAUAGUGUCACCAAUACAGUGGAUCAGCAUGAUGUUCUGCUAUAUCAUGACAGAAAGCAAGAGAGUUAACAUAGCCCCGAGGCAAGACAGUGAGACACAAUAAUCUAUUAAUUUACUGCCAUGGAUCCCUCUGGAUCAAGAAACCCUGACUAUCACUUCAACUUCCUGCCUAUCAAGCAAUUAUGUUCGUUGGGCCUCUGAAAGCCCCCGCUGAACUUCUCCAAAAUGCUCAUCUCUUCGUCGUCAGUGUGAUUUUUACUGACUUAGAAAAGACUAUGUCGUCUGAGUGAUAGGUUCUUGGACCAUACACGGUAGACCCACGUUUAAUGUUCCCACUUCCCUAAGUCUUCUGAUCUCUUCUUUAACACGAUGCCAAGGUGAUUCUGGCGUCUCAUUCUGGUCACUGUGUCCCCUUGUGGAGUCCAGGCUUCAAAUAGCCAGCCCCGCAAGUUACACAGGUGUUUCUUGACACAAAGUAAAGUGUGAAUCAUAAAUGAAUUA